rnacentral:rRNA from 1 species
CGAAUGGCUCAUUAAAUCAGUUAUAGUUUAUUUGAUGGUAUCUUGCUACAUGGAUAACUGUGGUAAAUCUAGAGCUAAUACAUGCUUAAAAGCCCCGACUUCUGGAAGGGGUGUAUUUAUUAGAUAAAAACCAACCCUUCGGGUCCCUUGGUGAAUCAUAAUAACUUCUCGAAUCGCAUGGCCUUGCGCCGGCGAUGCUUCAUUCAAAUAUCUGCCCUAUCAACUGUCGAUGGUAGGAUAGAGGCCUACCAUGGUUGCAACGGGUAACGGGGAAUAAGGGUUCGAUUCCGGAGAGGGAGCCUGAGAAACGGCUACCACAUCCAAGGAAGGCAGCAGGCGCGCAAAUUACCCAAUCCCGACACGGGGAGGUAGUGACAAUAAAUAACAAUAUAGGGCUUUUAUAGGUCUUAUAAUUGGAAUGAGUACAAUUUAAAUCCCUUACGAGGAACAAUUGGAGGGCAAGUCUGGUGCCAGCAGCCGCGGUAAUUCCAGCUCCAAUAGCGUAUAUUAAAGUUGUUGCAGUUAAAAAGCUCGUAGUUGAACUUCAGGCCUGGCCGGUCGGUCCGCUUCACAGCGUGUACUGCUUGGCCGGGCCUUCCCUCUAGGUGAUCCGGCAUGCUCUUUACUGGGUGUGUCGGGAACCUGGACUUUUACUUUGAAAAAAUUAGAGUGUUCAAGCAGGCCUAUGCCCGAUAUAUUAGCAUGGAAUAAUAAAAUAGGACGUGCGUUUCUAUUUUGUGGUUUCUAGAUCGCGUAUGAUAUAGGAUAGUGGGGGCAUAGUAUCACAUGCUAGAGGUGAAAUUCUUGGAUUUUGUGAAGACUAACUUCUGCGAAAGCAUUUGCCAAGGAUGUUUUCAUUAAUCAAGAACGAAGGUUAGGGGAUCGAAAACGAUCAGAUACCGUUGUAGUCUUAACAGUAAACUAUGCCGACUAGGGAUUGGGCGAUGUUAUUUUCUUGACU